rnacentral:rRNA from 1 species
CGGCGAACGGGUGAGUAAUACAUCGGAACGUGUCCCGUAGUGGGGGGAUAGCCCGGCGAAAGCCGGAUUAAUACCGCAUAUGCUCUACGGAGGAAAGUGGGGGACUCGCAAGGGCCUCACGCUAUGGGAGCGGCCGAUGUCCGAUUAGCUUGUUGGCGGGGUAAUGGCCCACCAAGGCGACGAUCGGUAGCUGGUCUGAGAGGGCGCACGGCCACACUGGAACUGAAACACGGUCCAG